UGAAUGUGGUCAAGGUGAAAUUUUGUGUGAGCGUGGGUGUGCCUGGGUGUGAAACUCAUUAAAGCAAAUCAAGAAAGGCCAAAUGGCCCCUUUUGUUUAUGUUGGUUGUUUACAUUGAUCAAAGGGUGGCCUCCUGCCAUGCAGCUGCAUGUUCUGCCACUGAAGCAAUAUGGAGUUUCCUUUUCAGCUCUUCUUUUUUAACACUGGAAAUCUACGUGGCUGAGCAAGUGCAUUCACGUGCACGUUUCAAGUCUGCAAGAGAAGUUUAAGUUUGAAGUGGAGUGUCGCUGCUUGUUUUCAAGCCAACUCCCAGGAAGCAAGGCUUGUCUUACAAGAGGCAAGGCAAGCAGUCGUGCAGUUAUUGCAUGCGGUCGAGGCUCUCACUAGUGCUGACUCCUCCAAAAUGGCAUGAGAGUGUCUUGACUUGACUUGACAAGUGGCCAUGAGCUUGGUUUCAGAAGAAGGAUGAAAAGGAAAGAGGAUCGAGAGGUGGACAACACUUGGGAGAUCGAGAUUGGGAAAACCUGUGCUCUCCCAAGUCCUGCACGUGAUGAGGCGCGCACUCAGAAGGGACUCAAGAUGUUGGUGUUGCGAUGUGUUGUGAUCAACAGCUGGAAAUGCAAAAUCUUCAGAACAUCCUGGAUGACAACACAUGCUAAGGGACUAUGGACCACCUAUAGUGGGUGAUUGACUGAACCUAAAACUCCUCUUCGCAACCGCAGUGCACCAAAUGUGGAUGACUUGCAUGCAAAAUGCACAAUCAUAAAAUAUAAUUUCAAUUUUUUAAAAAUUGAAAUUAUAAUUAGAAAUUAAAGUGGUAAAAAAAUAAUUCAGUGGAAUUGUUCUAUUGAUCAGGUGUCAAUCUUUUGUCUUCAGAUUCAACUGGCGUUGUGCAUGUUUUGUUUUACAUCUGUUUUCAAUGAAUUCCUGUUGCAUCAAAAUGAGUGACAUGAAUCAUUGAUCUCUUGAAGGCUGUACUUGCCUCAUCCUCACCUCAUUUAUACACAUCAAAACUUUGUGUC